CGUGGCCAUUCCCCUGGCAGGAACUCCUUCCCAGAGGCCAGGGGAUGACCUCUGCCCUCCUCCGCGCAGCCUCCCUGCCCCGUGAUUUGAUAGCACGUGGCAGACCUGCAGUGUAGCUUGAUUUGAGCUUUUCUUUCCAGCCCGGGGUUGCGCCAGGCUGGUGGUCAUGGACCCUUCCCUCCCCGCGGCCUGAUUCCUUUCAGAGCGUAUCUAACGCCCUGAGCGAAUCUGUUAACUGAGUUAGACGCCGCCGGAGCAUCAGAGGACCUCCCUGGGCUGUCUUGAGUCCAGCGCUGAAAGGCGGGCUGCAGGGAGGCUGCGCUGGUCGGGAGCAGUGAGAGCAGGUGAGUGACAGCCGGGACGCGCUGACUGCACUCAUCCUCGGGGCGAGGGGCUCAGACCUGCAGAGCCCGCAGAGAAGGCUGCGGGGGGCACUGGGGGCUUCUGGGCAGCCCUCUUUCUGGAAGCUCUGACACAGGGCAGGCAGGGCUGGGCUGAGAGGCGUGACUGCGGAGGGCCCUCUCCUUCCCUAUGAAGCGAUUUAGGACUCGCUGGUCUCCCAGGAAGUUCCCCUGUCUGCCUCGUGGGCCAGAGUGGAGACGCACGGGCCGUGUCCGCGGCAGAUGGAGAAGCAGCUGCCGCCUCUCCUCUGGGACGAGGAGGCCCCCGCGCCCGCGGGGAGGGGCGCGGCCAGGACACCCGCGGACAGGCCCGGGGCUGCGGGGGCUGCUGAGGACCGGAGCUGCCCCCAGGGCCCUGAGGCGGUCCAGAUGGCCCUGCGCCCGCGGGCAGAGAGCCAAGCCCCAAAGAAUUCCCGCACAGACGGACCCGGACUCCCGCCCGACUGCCCAGGCCGCACCCACAACAGGCCUGCACCACUCCCUUCAAGCGGACAGGAAGCUCUGGAAUAAUUCAGGCCCAAAUAACUAGGGCGGCCCGGCCACUCGCGGGGGUGGGUUGGGGGCCUUCCCUGGGGGCUCAGAUGGUAAAGAACCUGCCUGCCAAUCCCUGGGUGGGGAAGACCCCUGGAGGAGGGAAUGGCAGCCCACCCCAGUGUUCUUGCCUGGGAAAUCCCAUGGACAGAGGAGCCUGGUGGGCUACAGUUCAUGGGGUCACAAAGAGUCAGAAACAGAUUAGAGACUAAACAAUAUAUCAUAUAUAGUAUAAAUACUAAUUAUAUAUAUGUAGUUUUAUUAUUAUGAAAUAACAUUCGUAUUUCAUGUCAACGCAAGAAAACACUUUUCUCUGCCCUUUGUCUCCUCUCUACGCCCACUGUGAGUCCUGUACCUGCAUUGUAAUUUGACCAGACCUCCCCAUCAGCAGGAACACCUGCUCAACCAGAAAAAGCAACACAACACCCUCCUGGCAUCGCCAGCUCCUUUAAAGACAAUGUUCCUUCUUAAUCUUGUAAAGGGCCUCAAGGGUGCUGAGAUUUGGGUUGCGUAAACUGACAUGGGCUUCUUGGUGGCUCAGAGGUAAAGAACCUGCCUGCAAUGCAGGAGAUACCAGUCCAAUUCCAGGGCAGGAAGAGCCCCUGGAGGAGGAAAUGGCAACUCACUCCAGUAUACUUACCUGGAAAUCCCGUGGACAGAGGAGCCUGGCAGAGAGUUGGGCAUGACUGAGCGACUGAACAAGGCCCGCUGGAACCAGAAGAUGGAUGUAAAGGGGCACAAGGGCAGCGUGCUCGUUCACCAGAUUCGAUGUUUAAAUAGGAACGAGUAAAGCAGGAGUUAUACCUCAGACACCUGCUCUUCACCCAGCACUGCACUGAGAGGUAACCGAGGGGCGUGAGACGGUGUCAUUGCCACCCCCACAACUCGAGGCCACAGUGGAAUGGAGUGCGGGAGAAGGACAUGCGGAAGGUGGCCUAGCACCUCUCAACAGCUGACCCCAUGGACAACAGACUGGCUUUAAUCUUUAGGUUCAGACUGGCGGGAUGUUACUUCCCCGGCCAGGGAUCCAAACUGUGCCCCCUAUCUUGGAAGCGCAGUCGUGACCACUGGACCACAAGGAAGUCGGUCUUAUGUGUGUGUGUAUAUAUAUACAUACAUACAUAUACAUAUAUAUAUAUGUUGGUCUGGGCCGGUGCCUCUGGCCCUCAGUAGAAGCAAACUUGAGUCCUCUCUGGAUAAAAGCAUCCACAUCUUAGGCCCUCAGGAGGCCCCCAGAGAUUGAUCAAUGAGCUCAGAAUUAAACACCGUGAAAAAUACAAGCAAAACAGCCACCAUGAGUGAGAAUCAGCACAGAAUUAAACUCCCUUCCUUCAGCUCAUGAAAUUAAUCAGACACAGAAAUAUAAAAUGAUGAUGUAGCACAAGUUUAAAGGCUGGACAAAGGAAUCACAAAAUAAGUAAGUGAUAUAAGACCAUAAAAGAACCAGGAAGGUUAUGGGGGAAAAAGUCAACUUAAACAAUUAUAAAAGUUAACAAAACACACAUCAAUGUGGAAAAGAGAAAAUUAGUAUAGCUGAAGAGAUCAUUUUUUAUCUAAUCCUUAAAUAUGUACUGAAUAUUUACCACAAGUCAUUACUGUGUUAGGCCAGGGGAGUAUGCUGCUGCUGCUGCAGCUAAGUCGCUUCAGUCGUGUCCGACUCUGCGACCCCACAGAUGGCAGCCCACCAGACUCCCCCGUCCCUGGGAUUCUCCAGGCAAGAACACUGGAGUGGGUUGCCAUUUCCUUCUCCAACGCACGAAAGUGAAAAUUGUAUAGCAGUGAACAAAACGGAUAAAGGUCCUUGCCCAUACAGAGGUUACAAAGUAGACAAGUAAAAUACUUUAAAAACCAAAUGCCUGGGAAAAGAAUAGAGAAUGCCACGUGUGGGUAGAGCUGUAUUUUAAACCGGAAGGACAGAAAAGUCCUGGCUGAGAAACAUGUUUGGGUAAAGACUUGAAAGGGACGAAGGUCCUCCCAUAAGAACACAGCUGGUGCUGCUCAGUCUCAGUCUCGCCCGCUGCUGCCACCCUCGGGCCACACACUGCCCCCUAGCCUCCUCCGUCCAUGGGAUUCUCCAGGCAACAGUGCUGGAGUGGGCUGCCAUUCCCUCUUCCAGGGGAUCUUCCCGACACAGGGAUCAAAGCCGUGUCUCCCACACUGGCAGGAGGAUUCUUUACCACUGAGCCACCCGGGAAACCCCACCCAUAAAAAUACUGGGGAGACAAGCAUACCAGGGAAAGGAAACACUGGGAAUGGUGGCUCAGGGGCCAUGGGGUGGGGAUACACUUGAUAAACUUGACCUCCUGGAAAAGAGGUCUGGGGGGGUGAGAAGAUGGGGUGAGGGUCCAAGGGCAGGUCCUGGGACCUUGUGGGACAGUCCGGGAUGAGGCCAGGUGGCGCUCACGCCUGAAAGUGCAUCUGCAGUCAGCGCCUGUGGACUUGAACCUGCCUGUAACACGCAGCUGGCAGGCGACCCUCAAGCUCCUCCCUCCCAGUUUGUCUGGCAUGCCUUCUCGUGUGUCUGCAAUCCUCUCCUCCCCCUAGUCCUUCACCUUUGACGUUUUCCCUGACUGUUCCGUCUGAUUUAUUUGUACCCUGACCCCUGCUCCCAUCUCAGCCUGUAUAUACAGACCCGCCUUUGUGUCCUAUUGACUGUUUCAUGCCUUCAACCAGGAGCUCCAUACGCAUGAGGAGGAGGCGCAAUCAUCAAAGGCAACGCUCAAUAUAUUGAAAUGUCCUCUACAAAAUGCCAGAUUAUUGCAGGAAAGGGCUAAACGGUGACUGCAAUAAAAUUCUUUUGGCGCUAUUA
ensembl:lncRNA